CUUCAAGGAGGUUCACAAAAAAAGACUACAACAAGUACUCCAAAAUACAGGUUUCUGACAACUUUGACAUCAGAAAUUUGAACUGGGACAAAAUUGGAGACACUGAUUAUUUUAGCAAGCCUCUGAAUAGAAUGUCAUGUUUUCAGAUAUAACCAGACAGCUUUAAGGAACUGAAGCUGAGACUAUAAAACUGGUAGAGAUCCUUGGAAAAACUAGCCUGAUACUUCAAAUAAUGGUUCACAUGGAUGCCUUGUGGAGUAAAGAAUGCCACUUUUUGACAGACCCAGAAACCUCAAGAUAUUUGGAGAACUUGAAAAGAGAGGAGUUCACCCAGUAUGUAUGAGUAUUGCAGACAAAAUCACAGGGCAAGUCAAAUUUUUUGCCUGGCUUCCUUGCUUCUGGAGACUUUUAAAGUCCAGUCGAAGAUUUCUUAUGAAACGUUCCAGUAAAGCCAACUUAAAAGGAGCCUGUAUGAUAAAUACAUUCUUGCUGCACUUUAUGCAAGUAAUGAGGCCAAGUUAAUGCAACAAAAUUUAUUCUAUGAACAAAUUAGUUUUAUCAUAAAUAUCUUUGGUAACAAUGGAUCACCAAAGAGAGAGAAAAACUGUUUCAGAAAUAAAAACAACAAUAGUAUACUGGUUAUUAGAUUCUAGCCCUGCCCAUUGUUUUUGAGGUUUCUCUUUUUUUAAUUAUCUGGGCUGAUUUUUAGUUCCCUCCAAUAUCUGGCUGUGACUCUCCAGACAAAUAUUUUUAAUUUUUCUCUCACCUUUCUGACUUGAAAUCACUAAAAAUUAAAAAUGCCUUUUUCCUAAGG
rnacentral:lncRNA from 1 species